AUUUCAAACAAAGGCCUUAAAAAUCCUGAAGAAAUCGGCGGGACAAAAGGCAAAAGGUUUGCGGAGGAUCAAACCAGAGGAAUGCAGCAGAAGAAAAAUGGAGAAGAAAGGACACCUGGAUGGCAAGAAGAGAAACGAAGGUUCCGAGACUAACCUAGAUCGCUCCGAAGGAUGCAGAGGGGCGAGGACAGGGAUGACUCGAAGAACGCUUAGGGCC
rnacentral:lncRNA from 1 species